rnacentral:rRNA from 1 species
UCUGGUAGCGAUAGCGAAGAGGUCACACCUGUUCCCAUGCCGAACACAGAAGUUAAGUUCUUCAGCGCCGAUGGUAGUUGGGGGCUUCCCCCUGCGAGAGUAGGACGUCGCCAGGC